UUUCCUCCGGGUGCUCCGGUUUCCCCCACAAGUCCAAAGACAUGCGCUAUAGGGGAAUUGGACAACCGAUGUCCAUGUCAAAAGAGCGUCUAUUCUUCAAGCUCUCUUUACCUACCUUGGUGAGGAUGAGGCAUGCCUGGUGAAAGAAUACAUGGGCAAUCAAAAAGAAGAAUUUUUGAAGGACCUGACAAACACCGCCAUGGCCAUAUGUGUCAUCAAAAAGGAAAGAGGAGAUUAUGAGGACAUUGGCAUCGUUGUGGAUGGAACAGUGAUUAUUGAACAGAUAAAAUCUGUUGCACAAGCCUGUACACUGAUGUUGGGGGCAAUUUAUGUGCUUGAUUUGGCCUACCCAAAAGAACUCAAAUACUAUUACGAGUUUGCCCAAAAAGUACUUGUGCAAAUGAACUCUGACAAGCUCUCCUCAAAGGUUCUCAUACUGGAAAACAGUGUGAUACUGUAAUUUUAAGCAUUGGUGUGGUUAUAAAUGCUCAACAACCAAAUGUAUAUCAUAUACAAAUUGCAGUUUAGUGUAGGAAUUGUUUAAUAAGUGAAUUCAGUUUUCUUUGUGUGGAAAAUUAAUUAGCUGUAGGAACUUGUUUUAAAUGGUGUGCGUGUGUGUGUGUGAGAGAGAGAGAGAGAGCAUGUGCAUUCUAUAAACUUUGUAUUUAUUCCAUUUCAUACAACUUGUAGUUGCUCAAUUUGUUAAUGAGUUAAUUUUUUAAGUUAAUUAGUUGAUUAUUUUGUGUGUUGGGGUGUGUGUGUGUCAUAAGGAUUGCCGUUUGCUCCAAGACUUCAUACAGUUUUCUUUUAUGUGUUGGUUUAAAUUAAAUGUGCUGUACAAACUGUUUAUUGUGUUAUGGUGUGCUGCUAAAGCAUUUUUAGGCAGUGAUUUAUGUUUUGUUAAAAAAAUGCAUCUUAAAAAGUCAUUAAAAUGAAUUCAAAA